rnacentral:rRNA from 1 species
GCUACGGGAGGCAGCAGUGAGGAAUAUUGGUCAAUGGACGAGAGUCUGAACCAGCCAAGUAGCGUGAAGGAUGACUGCCAUAUGGGUUGUAAACUUCUUUUAUAAAGGAAUAAAACGAGGCACGUGUGCCUUUUUGCAUGUACUUUAUGAAUAAGGAUCGGCUAACUCCGUGCCAGCAGCCGCGGUAAUACGGAGGAUCCGAGCGUUAUCCGGAUUUAUUGGGUUUAAAGGGAGCGUAGAUGGGUUGUUAAGUCAGUUGUGAAAGUUUGCGGCUAAACCGUAAAAUUGCAAUUGAUACUGGCAGUCUUGAGUACAGUUGAGGUAGGCGGAAUUCGUGGUGUAGCGGUGAAAUGCUCAGAUAUCACGAAGAACCCCGAUUGCGAAGGCAGCUUACUAAACUGUGACUGACAUUGAUGCUCGAAAGUGUGGGUAUCAAACAGGAUUAGAUACCCUAGUAGUC